AGUGAGCUGAGAUCGUGCCGUUGCACUCCAGCCUGGGCAAUGAGAGCGAAACUCCGUUUCAAUAAAUAAAUAAAAUAAAAAGUUGAUUGUCUGCUACAUACAGACAAUGCUAGGAGCUAGAAACAUGAGGAAUACAUGAGCUCGGUGCCAAUGGAACGUGCUUUCACACCGGGUGCAGCUGACUACCACAUCAUACAAAACUCAUCACUGCCGUUUUAGAUGUGUAAUCUGAUUGGCAUGGGCUCACAGAGGAGGGAGUAAGGGAAGAGUAAGAAGAUUUCAAAGGAGAGACACAGGUUGCAGGUUAGCAGGAGAACAGGCAAGCCAAAUGCAAAGGAGCCACUUCAGAAAUGUCACAGAAAAGUGAAAAUGCAGCCUAGUGGUAAAUGAAGAGGGGAAGAAGAAAGAAAAAGGACCAGAACCGUGAACUGAAGGGACGGGGAACAGCCAGAGGAGAGCUUCAGCCAUCACGAGGAUGAUUUCGGAACCUGGAGAAAAUGUAAGUUAAAUAUAUCUACACUCUGAUCCUAUCUCGAGAGAGAGAGAUUUUCUCAUUUCCUGGUUGUGAAUGAUGGGCUCUUGGAAGCACGGUCUUUUUAGCGUGUCUCUUAUCUCUGCCCUGAUUUUUGUAUUUGUUUACAAUACUGAGUUAUGGGAGAAUAAACGUUUUCUGAGGGCAGCUCUGUCCAAUGCUUCACUGUUAGCAGAAGCCUGUCAUCAGAUUUUUGAGGGGAAAGUUUUUUACCCAACAGAAAAUGCAUUGAAAACUACCCUUGAUGAAGCGACCUGCUAUGAGUACAUGGUUCGAAGUCACUAUGUAACAGAAACACUCUCUGAAGAAGAGGCUGGGUUCCCUUUAGCUUACACGGUGACCAUCCACAAAGACUUCGGCACUUUUGAGAGGCUCUUCAGGGCGAUUUAUAUGCCCCAAAAUGUCUACUGUGUGCACCUGGAUCAGAAGGCGACGGAUGCCUUUAAAGGUGCAGUGAAACAGUUACUCAGCUGCUUCCCAAAUGCUUUUCUGGCUUCCAAGAAGGAGUCGGUCAUCUAUGGGGGGAUCUCCAGGCUUCAGGCUGACCUGAACUGCCUGGAAGACCUUGUGGCCUCUGAGGUUCCCUGGAAGUAUGUCAUCAACACCUGCGGGCAAGACUUUCCCCUGAAAACCAACAGGGAAAUAGUUCAGUAUCUGAAGGGAUUUAAAGGGAAAAAUAUCACCCCUGGGGUGCUGCCUCCUGACCACGCUGUUGGACGGACUAAAUACGUCCACCAAGAACUGUUAGACCACAAAAAUUCCUACGUGAUUAAAACAACAAAAUUAAAAACUCCUCCUCCUCAUGACAUGGUGAUUUACUUUGGCACGGCCUACGUGGCUCUCACAAGGGACUUUGCUAACUUUGUCCUCCAAGACCAGCUCGCACUUGACUUACUCUCCUGGUCCAAGGACACCUACAGCCCCGACGAACAUUUCUGGGUGACACUCAACAGGAUUCCCGGUAUGUACGUCUCUUAACUUUUAUUUUUACAAAUAAACACUGCAUGGUCAAUACUAAAUAAGUUGCUUUGAAAAGAGUGGAAAAAAUGGGACAAACUUCUUUACAGUUUUAAAU
rnacentral:sRNA from 1 species